rnacentral:lncRNA from 1 species
GCUACUCUGAGGACUCAGAUCCCCUCUGUGAGCACACUGUCAGUCUCCAUGCUUGCUGACUGUGAGCCCAGCUUCACUUCCUACUCACACACAGCGGUGACGUCAUCCCCCCUCCCCCCUGUGCAGAGACAGAGCACAGUGUAUUCUCAGUGAACGGAGUGUGAGUGCUCACUGAACGGAGUCUGUGUCUCCAGGCAGGCAAGUUAUAUACACUACAACUGGGGGGAGGAGGGGCUGAGGCAGGAGUAAAGGGGGGCAGCAUGGAGGGAGAGAGAGAAGGAGAGGGGGAACAUGGAGGCAGAGAGAGGAACAGCAUAGGGGGAGAGAGCAGCAUGGAGGGAGAGAUGGGGAGGGGCAGCAUGGAGGGAGAUGAUGGGAGGGGGCGGCAUGGAUGGAGGGGAGAUGGGGAGGGGGCAGCAUGGAGGGAGAGAUGGGGGAGGGGGCAGCAUGGAGGGAGAGGGGGGCAGCAUGGAGGGAGAGAUGGGGAGGGGGGCAGCAUGGAGGGAGAGAAAGAGAUGGGCAGCAGGGAGGAUUCUGAGUCAUUAAUGGAAUGCUGCCACUAGUCAGACAAUUAGUUUAAAUUGGGAAGUAUAACUAAAUGAUAUGGUAGAGGGUGAUACAGAUAUUCUGUGGGUUGUGUGGAGUGUGGAUCAUUAUUAUUUAAUGUAUAACCUAUCAUUGUUGCAUAUACUGCAGACACAUGGCAUUUUUCAUGGUUAACUCAUCAAUGGAAGGGUUACAUGUUUAAGUUAGGACAAAGCAUGUGUUGCCUGUCAAUCAAAGGGUUAACAAGAAACCCUGACUUUGUACUUUUGAAGCUAGCAAUAGAUAGUGUCUGCUGACUGCAGCUACAUACCAUACAUUACAUCAUAUAGCAGGGAGCAUGUGAGAGCAAUUUUGGGAGAAAGAUACAGCUAUAUAAACGUGUAAAAGGACAGUCAGACCUCCUCAUUCAUCCAUAGUGCACACAUCCUGCAGUCAUUCUUCACACCAAUUCUCUUUGUAAGAUUAUUAACCCCUUCAGGACGGAGUCAAUAGUGCACGUUCUGAUCAAAACAAAAUGUUAACAAAAACUAUAAUUUACUCUUUAUAUCUGUUCAACCGUAAUUCACCUCUUUCAUAUUACGUGCACCCACACUUAUUAUAAGAAAAAACAACAAAAGGGGGAAACCUUCUAGGGAGAGAGUGUCAGGUUACUCAAUUAGUGAGAGGGGUAACCCCUAGGAUUGAAUUGGCUUAAAGAAAAGAAUAAAGAAACCAUGUAGGGGAUCAACACUCAUGGACAAGGAGUAACCCUAAUAAAACAUCACUUUUAAUAAAUAGAUCACAAAAUCCCUAACUGAAAAAAGAGAAUUAUGUAGAUGUAUAUCUAUAAUAGGAUGAAUCCUACAAUAAUAGUAAGAAAAAUAAUAAUAAAAUGAAAUGUACAAAAUCAAGAAAAUAUAAAUAGAUUAAUGUUUUAUUAGAAAUAAAGAAAAAAUCCAGAGACUAUCCACUCUAAAACUGUGGACUGUAUAUGUCAGUCAAACUGGAAAGUUACAAUAUGUAAAAUAACAAAAUUGUAGCGAUGGAGACAGUGCUCAUCUAAUAGUUUAAAGUUAAUCAAAGAUGGUAUAAAAGUAUCCAAUUCUCAGUUUAAUGGGAUAAGGGGGGCCAGUGGUAACAGGGUUUUAACACUAUAGAGUCAGGAAUAAAAAGCUAUACAUGCGAUAAGCUAAGAAUGACCAGGAAACAAAUAUCUGUCGGUGACAUCUAAUCAUACCUUAAAAGAGCCAUAGUCACCAAUAUUGAAGGGUCGUAAAUCGCCGGUUAUAAUGGAAAACACUGAGAGAACAUAUGUUGUAAAUGGUAGAGUUAAUUUCCAGAUAAAUAAUUAAACCGCAGUUGCUGUUUUUAGAUUGAUGGUUUGUAACAGUCGAAAUAAUGUGUGAAUAAUAUAUUUAGGAACAAUUUGAGUUUGAGAAAGUGGCCGUUUACUUCUGCAAGCCGGACUGACAUGUCAUGAUUCCCUUUUAUUCCAGAAGUUUGUCCCUUAAGGAGUUAAAUCAAGAAUACAAGAAGCUGUGCAGGCAUCUAAUGAGAACUACCAGACCCUCUGCUAUCUGGG